GGCAAAGCACCAGGAAACCUAGCUGACUGAACCUAAAACAAUAAGAUAAACAGAGCUAGGUUUCUUCUCCUUGUUUGAUUGAUACCGAUACUGAAUCAUCUCUAUCUUCCAUUCACAGAGCUACUUAAAAUGGCUGGGAGAAAUCGUAUUCAUCGUGAGGCAUAUAAUGACCUUCGUGGGUACCCUCCUGAGAGACCUUUCAUUCGUGGCCCUCCUUUGCCACAUCCUCCUCCUCACCCUGCCUUGUUGGAGGACGAACUUGAGAUGCAGCAAGCUGAAAUCCGUGGGCUCCUUGGUGAUAAUCGUCGGCUGAUUGAUGAUCGGAUGGCUAUGCAGCAAGAGCUUGGUGCUGCCAAGGAGGAACUCCAUCACAUGAAUCUUGUUAUUGCUGAAAUUCGUGCAGAACAUGAAGUGCACUCGAGGGAGCUUAUUGAGAAAGGCUUGAAGCUGGAGGCUGAUAUUCGUGCAACUGAACCAUUGAAGAAUGAGGUUGUACAUCUCCGUGCAGAUGUUCAGAAACUGAAUAAUGUAAAACAGGAACUCCUUGGGCAAAUUCAGAGCCUAAAACAAGACCUUGCUAGAUCACAAGCUGAUAAUAAACAGAUUUCUCUUUUGCGGGGUGAGAUUGAGGGCCUGCACCAAGAGAUUAUGCAUGCUAGAACUGCUAUUGAUUAUGAAAAGAAGGCCAACAUUGAGCUGGUGGAGCAGAGGCAGGCAAUGGAGAAGAACAUGGUUUCUAUGGCACGUGAAGUUGAAAAGCUACGGGCUGAACUUGCUAGUACUGAUGCUCGACCCCGGGUUGCUGGUGGACCAUAUGGGAUGAAGUAUGGUAAUCCAGAGGGCGCGUUUCCUCAUGCACCUUAUGGGGAUGGAUAUGGGGUUCAUAUGGCUGCUGACAAAGGUCCUUUGUAUGGCCCUGGUCCUGCUUCAUGGGACAAGUCCCGCAUGCCUCGUCAUUGAUGACUGCUGUUCAAAUGGAAAAGUUGUUACUUUUGCCACCUUAUCCUGUUCAAUAUCUCAGUAGAUGGAAAACUGGGAUUAACAGCAGAGAAAGUCAGGGACAUUUGAUGAGGCGAAAUGGAAAGGAAUACAAGGGGAAAACAUAACACAGAAUUCGCCAAUGUUGGAAGAAUAGAAUUAAGAGUGAUGGGGUGUUUGAAUUUGACCAUCCUCAAUUAAUCAAAUUUGACCUCCAUCAAAAAGAAGAGGGAAAUGAGAAGCAGCAUCAAUGGUAUCAAAUUUUGAAGAAGUCACCGCCAACCACUGUUGCCAACUGAAGCGAUUCUGAUGUAUUACGAUGGCUUCUUUGUGCACAGUUGCCUUCAAUAUUUUGGCCUGGCUGAAAAGACAAUUGUAGUCAUCAACUUCAUUGUUGAAAAGAAAACUUGGAAGCGCUGUGGUGAUUUCCCUGUAGAACUCAUCAUUUCACAUCUCACAAGUCUAUGAGCAACCAGAAAAAAUUAAACUAAUGAUAAAACAAACUCGAGAUCAUAAUGAAAUGGAGUGCGGAUUCAUGGAAGCAAGCUUCUUUAAAUGAGAAAGAGGCGUAUGCUGCAAAAGGGCUGAGUUCUGAAUCUUUGUUGAUUAUGGGGUUUUCAUCGCCAAAUGUCUUGUUCAAACAAAUUGCUUCAGUGAAAAGAAGGGAUAAGAAGUGGACUCUCUCUUUCCAAAUUUUUAACAAGAGAAGGGUUUCUCCGCCUUAUCAAUAAUGAUUGCUUCGGGAUAUUCCUCUGAAAGCUGCAAGUCAGAUUCUUGCAGUGGCAUGUAACAUCUGCUUGACCUCAAAACUACCAUAGAAAUGAUGGCUAAACUUACAGUAGUGGCACAAUUAGACAAGCUGAUAAAUUUUAAUCAGCCGCAGCUGGAGGAUGAAAGGUUAUGCUUGGCUAGUA